rnacentral:rRNA from 1 species
CGAUCAGUAGCCGACCUGAGAGGGUGAUCGGCCACAUUGGAACUGAGACACGGUCCAAACUCCUACGGGAGGCAGCAGCGGGGAAUAUUGCACAAUGGGCGAAAGCCUGAUGCAGCAACGCCGCGUGCGUGAUGAAGGCCUUCGGGUCGUAAAACUCUGUCCUCAAGGAAGAUAAUGACGGUACUUGAGGAGGAAGCCCCGGCUAA